CACAUCUUAGUAAUUUGGCAAUGCAAGUGGAAUGAUACAAAGAAGAUUAGCAUGGCCCCUGUGCAAGGAUGACACGCACAAAUCGAGAAAUGGUCCAAAAAAGC